CAGGUUACCGUAUUUUUCGCACUAUAGGACGCACUUUUUCCCCUCCAAAAAUGAAGGGGAAAUGUGUGUGCGUCCUAUGGUGCGAAUGCAGGCUUUCACUGAAGCCUGGAGAGCGAGAGGGGUCGGUGCGCACCGACCCCUCUCGCUCUCCAGGCUUCAGGAGAGCCCCAGCGCCAGCCCCACAAGGUCGGGGGACAGAGGGAGGCGGAACGCCGCCAUCCCGCUGUCUCCCGAAGUGGUUUGGAGGCUGACGGCGGGAGA